AAUAUAUUAUGCAAACACAAACUUUUAUUUUGCAUGCGAUUAAUUGCGAUUAAUCUUUUGACAGCCCUAAUAUUUAUUUAUUUAUGUUAAUAAUGAUGUUGACAUGCCAAUACUGUGAUAAAUGCCAAAAAUCGACAUAUCCUGCUUCAUUGUAAUCGAUCAAUGCAACUAAUACUACCUGUGCAAUAAAGCACAUUUGUCUUUCUUUGCUCCGGCUUAUACUGUACAACCUUGUUUUUGUCUUUUAAACCUGUAUUAUCAGCUUGGAUGGACUGUCAGGUCCUCUCUUAAGACUAAACUCAUCGAACGCGUAACCCUUGGAGAGUUUAUUAGCUUGUCAAACACUGAUCUCUCGGUUGCAGUGGUCUCCUCGUGGUCUCCGGAGCACGGCUGGUCUCGCGUGCAUCCAAGGUGAUCAAACCUGCGUCAGUCUGUGCCUGCACCUGCCGGGUCUUUGGGGAGAACACGAAGAGCAUGAACAACAAAAUCUAGACAGCACACACACUGACAGAUCCAGCGUAGAGGACUUUCAAUCGUGUUAUCUGUUUGCCUGAGCCUACGCAGGUUCUUACUUGCCAGCUUUCUUACCUUCAGUCUGGAUUUACGACUUCCUGGUUGGCAGUUUGUUAGUUUCCUGGUUUCGGCAGCAACACGGGAGGCCCAGGAGACAGAGCGAGGAGACGCAGAUCAUAGUGGAGAACCCUGAAAUGUGUCCAUCCAGAUGGUUUUGUACAGCGUCAUCUUGCUAAUUGCCUGUGAUGCCGUCAAAAAGAUGCAGGCGACCUGACAGGCCAGCAGAAUUAAGAGAGAUGAGGACAUGAUGGUCCAACAGAGUCAAGUGUACA